rnacentral:rRNA from 1 species
CCUACGGGUGGCUGCAGUGGGGAAUAUUGCACAAUGGGCGAAAGCCUGAUGCAGCAACGCCGCGUGAAGGAAGACGGUUUUCGGAUUGUAAACUUCUAUCAAUAGGGAAGAAAGAAAUGACGGUACCGAAAUAAGAAGCCCCGGCUAACUACGUGCCAGCAGCCGCGGUAAUACGUAGGGGGCAAGCGUUAUCCGGAUUUACUGGGUGUAAAGGGGGCGCAGACGGCAAUGCAAGCCAGGAGUGAAAGCCCGGGGCCCAACCCCGGGACUGCUCUUGGAACUGCAUGGCUGGAGUACAGGGGGGGCAGGCGGAAUUCCUAGUGUAGCGGUGAAAUGCGUAGAUAUUAGGCGGAACACCGGUGGCGAAGGCGGCCUGCUGGACUGUGACUGACGUUGAGGCCCGAAGGCGUGGGGAGCAAACAGGAUUAGAUACCCGUGUAGUC